rnacentral:rRNA from 1 species
AACGAACGCUGGCGGCAGGCUUAAUACAUGCAAGUCGAACGGGCGCAGCAAUGCGUCAGUGGCAGACGGGUGAGUAACACGUGGGAACCUUCCUCGUUGUACGGAACAACUCAGGGAAACUUGAGCUAAUACCGUAUAAGUCCGAGAGGAGAAAGAUUUAUCGCAAUGAGACGGGCCCGCGUCGGAUUAGGUAGUUGGUGAGGUAACGGCUCACCAAGCCAACGAUCCGUAGCUGAUCUGAGAGGAUGAUCAGCCACACUGGGACUGAGACACGGCCCAGACUCCUACGGGAGGCAGCAGUAGGGAAUCUUGGACAAUGGGCGCAAGCCUGAUCCAGCCAUGCCGCGUGAGUGAAGAAGGCCUU